rnacentral:rRNA from 1 species
GACGAACGCUGGCGGCGUGCUUAACACAUGCAAGUCGAACGGUAAGGCCCUUCGGGGUACACGAGUGGCGAACGGGUGAGUAACACGUGGGUGAUCUGCCCUGCACUUCGGGAUAAGCCUGGGAAACUGGGUCUAAUACCGGAUAGGACCCUGGGAUGCAUGUCCUGGGGUGGAAAGCUUUUGCGGUGUGGGAUGGGCCCGCGGCCUAUCAGCUGGUUGGUGGGUGAUGGCCUACCAAGGCGACGACGGGUAGCCGGCCUGAGAGGGUGACCGGCCACACUGGGACUGAGGUACGGCCCAGACUCCUGCGGGAGGCAGCAGUGGGGAAUGUUGCACAAUGGGCGCAAGCCUGAUGCAGCGACGCCGCGUGAGGGAUGACGGCCUUCGGGUUGUAAACCUCUUUCAGCACCGACGAAGCGCAAGUGACGGUAGGUGCAGAAGAAGGACCGGCCAACUACGUGCCAGCCGCCGCGGUAA